rnacentral:rRNA from 1 species
GCGCGAUACAGGGUGACAGCCCCGUACACAAAAGCGCAUGUGCUGUGAGCUCGAUGAGUAGGGCGGGACACGUGGUAUCCUGUCUGAAUAUGGGGGGACCAUCCUCCAAGGCUAAAUACUCCUGACUGACCGAUAGUGAACCAGUACCGUGAGGGAAAGGCGAAAAGAACCCCGGCGAGGGGAGUGAAAAAGAACCUGAAACCGUGUACGUACAAGCAGUGGGAGCACAGGUUUACCUGUGUGACUGCGUACCUUUUGUAUAAUGGGUCAGCGACUUAUAUUCUGUAGCAAGGUUAACCGUAUAGGGGAGCCGGAGGGAAACCGAGUCUUAAUUGGGCGUUAAGUUGCAGGGUAUAGACCCGAAACCCGGUGAUCUAGCCAUGGGCAGGUUGAAGGUUGGGUAACACUAACUGGAGGACCGAACCGACUAAUGUUGAAAAAUUAGCGGAUGACCUGUGGCUGGGGGUGAAAGGCCAAUCAAACCGGGAGAUAGCUGGUUCUCCCCGAAAGCUAUUUAGGUAGCGCCUCGUGAAUUCAUCUCCGGGGGUAGAGCACUGUUUCGGCUAGGGGGCCAUCCCGGCUUACCAACCCGAUGCAAACUGCGAAUACCGGAGAAUGUUAUCACGGGAGACACACGGCGGGUGCUAACGUCCGUCGUGAAGAGGGAAACAACCCAGACCGCCAGCUAAGGUCCCAAAGUCAUGGUUAAGUGGGAAACGAUGUGGGAAGGCCCAGACAGCCAGGAUGUUGGCUUAGAAGCAGCCAUCAUUUAAAGAAAGCGUAAUAGCUCACUGGUCGAGUCGGCCUGCGCGGAAGAUGUAACGGGGCUAAACCAUGCACCGAAGCUGCGGCAGCGAACGUAUCACCCAAGACAACUUUACGGAGUUGACGAUUGACGGAGCGAAGCGACGUCAAAGCGUUCAUUAAAGUCGAGUUGGCUUAGGGAUACGUUCGUUGGGUAGGGGAGCGUUCUGUAAGCCUGUGAAGGUGUGUCGUGAGGCAUGCUGGAGGUAUCAGAAGUGCGAAUGCUGACAUAAGUAACGAUAAAGCGGGUGAAAAGCCCGCUCGCCGGAAGACCAAGGGUUCCUGUCCAACGUUAAUCGGGGCAGGGUGAGUCGACCCCUAAGGCGAGGCCGAAAGGCGUAGUCGAUGGGAAACGGGUUAAUAUUCCCGUACUUGGUGUUACUGCGAAGGGGGGACGGAGAAGGCUAUGUUGGCCGGGCGACGGUUGUCCCGGUUUAAGCGUGUAGGUGUGUGUUCCAGGUAAAUCCGGUUCACUUUAACACUGAGGCGUGACGACGAGGCACUACGGUGCUGAAGCAACAAAUGCCCUGCUUCCAGGAAAAGCCUCUAAGCAUCAGGUAACAUCAAAUCGUACCCCAAACCGACACAGGUGGUCAGGUAGAGAAUACCAAGGCGCUUGAGAGAACUCGGGUGAAGGAACUAGGCAAAAUGGUGCCGUAACUUCGGGAGAAGGCACGCUGACACGUAGGUGAAGUGAUUUACUCAUGGAGCUGAAGUCAGUCGAAGAUACCAGCUGGCUGCAACUGUUUAUUAAAAACACAGCACUGUGCAAACACGAAAGUGGACGUAUACGGUGUGACGCCUGCCCGGUGCCGGAAGGUUAAUUGAUGGGGUCAGCGCAAGCGAAGCUCCUGAUCGAAGCCCCGGUAAACGGCGGCCGUAACUAUAACGGUCCUAAGGUAGCGAAAUUCCUUGUCGGGUAAGUUCCGACCUGCACGAAUGGCGUAAUGAUGGCCAGGCUGUCUCCACCCGAGACUCAGUGAAAUUGAACUCGCUGUGAAGAUGCAGUGUACCCGCGGCAAGACGGAAAGACCCCGUGAACCUUUACUAUAGCUUGACACUGAACAUUGAGCCUUGAUGUGUAGGAUAGGUGGGAGGCUUUGAAGUGUGGACGCCAGUCUGCAUGGAGCCGACCUUGAAAUACCACCCUUUAAUGUUUGAUGUUCUAACGUGGACCCGUAAUCCGGGUUGCGGACAGUGUCUGGUGGGUAGUUUGACUGGGGCGGUCUCCUCCUAAAGAGUAACGGAGGAGCACGAAGGUUGGCUAAUCCUGGUCGGACAUCAGGAGGUUAGUGCAAUGGCAUAAGCCAGCUUGACUGCGAGCGUGACGGCGCGAGCAGGUGCGAAAGCAGGUCAUAGUGAUCCGGUGGUUCUGAAUGGAAGGGCCAUCGCUCAACGGAUAAAAGGUACUCCGGGGAUAACAGGCUGAUACCGCCCAAGAGUUCAUAUCGACGGCGGUGUUUGGCACCUCGAUGUCGGCUCAUCACAUCCUGGGGCUGAAGUAGGUCCCAAGGGUAUGGCUGUUCGCCAUUUAAAGUGGUACGCGAGCUGGGUUUAGAACGUCGUGAGACAGUUCGGUCCCUAUCUGCCGUGGGCGCUGGAGAACUGAGGGGGGCUGCUCCUAGUACGAGAGGACCGGAGUGGACGCAUCACUGGUGUUCGGGUUGUCAUGCCAAUGGCACUGCCCGGUAGCUAAAUGCGGAAGAGAUAAGUGCUGAAAGCAUCUAAGCACGAAACUUGCCCCGAGAUGAGUUCUCCCUGAGACUUAGAGUCUCCUGAAGGAACGUUGAAGACGACGACGUUGAUAGGCCGGGUGUGUAAGCGCAGCGAUGCGUUGAGCUAACCGGUACUAAUGAACCGUGAGGCUUAACCUUACAACGCCGAAG